ensembl:lncRNA RHOXF1-AS1 RHOXF1 antisense RNA 1
CUCUCUCAGGUGACCCGCUUUCUCAGCAUGAGGAAGCUUAUUCUAUCUCUCUUCCUUUUUGUCUGUUAAACUUUCUGCUCCUUAACCCACUCCACGUGUGUGUCCAUGUUGUUAAUCAUCGGCGCGAGACAACUAACUACAGUGGCCUCAGGGAUAUGGAAUUAAGAUCCACCUGGUGUGAUGAAUAAACCCAGACUCUCAGCAACGCAGGAAAAAAAAAACAAAAACUGGCUGGCGAUCUGGAGUAAAGGAUCCUCACAUCCACGUGAACCAGGAAACUCUGUGCCCAAAUCGACGAAAAAAAAACACUGGGAGAGCCGAACUAAAAGUCUUUUAGCACGGGUACCAGCCCUAGAAUUUCCAGUACACCAGCAGCAGCCUGGAAACCACAUCCUCAUCAAAAGACAGAAAGAAAAAAACUCGAGCCAGCCUGAGAAGGACCCUAUUUUAUGCUGUUAACCACUGAGACUGCCAUCCUCACAGCUGAGAAAGGAUGGACCCACCAUACUCAAGUCAAGAAAACAUCUUCCUCGUCAGAAUCAUGGGUUACUGUACUAGGAUUAAGCCUUACUAAGUUAAAGUUAAAGAAAGCUUAAUUUUCAUAUACCUUCUAUAUUGCUUCUUUUCCUUUCCUUAUUCUGUUACUAGCUCCUUUGUUAUUAAUGUAACUAAGUCUGAGUCACCUCAGACCAUUGCCUUUUAUGCUUGCUCUGUCAUACCUUGUGGAAAUGUAAAAGAUCAAUGACAGCUAGCCUUUUCACACAAUUAUUUAUGCCUCGGCCCUCUAAUUGACACAGUUACCCCUAGCACUCAUCGUUGUGAUCACCUGCAGCCAAGACGCUGAUUUUCUGCUCCUAUAGCCUGGCAACCUUGUGGUACAUGGGACUACGUCCUUUAAACUACCCAGGAGCAAAGUUGGACUUCCAUGAAAAAGGUUUGUGCAGAUCUAAAACCUCUCAUCUAUUUCACUAAAAGGACUUCCCCUUCUAACUGUCACCCUUACCAAUGUAACCCUGUCCUCUCUAUCACCACCUCCACCUGUCUUUAACUAACUCUAGACCUGUCCUUAAUUGCUUUUAUGGUAUUGGAAUAGGAAUUAAAAGAAAUUAAAGAAUGUGUAAGGAGAAACUCAGUUGUAUGUAAGAAAACCCAAUUCCCCCUGAGAAAGAGAAAGAGUUGGAGUCCUUUAAAAAUUAACUGCCUGUUUUUCUGUGGCUAGUGAGCCUUAUCUCUCCUCCUUUCCCAGACAUUGUGAAGACCCUGUUUCUCUAGCUGUGCAGCUGCAAGGUCACUAGACAGAUAAACUCAAGUUGUAAAACAUGUUUUUCCUUGAAAAGUAAGAAAUGCUGUAAUGCAUUUCUCAAUUAAUUAAAUAACUGUCUUUGUUUCUCGCUUCUGUAAUAUGCUUCCCCCUGCACAGAUCUCCACCCACCCUACAAAAUGCUUAAAAGGUAACUUAACUCUUUGUUCUGGGCUCAGUCCUUUGGGCUGAGUACUGGGCCGGUGCACCUAAAUAAUAAAUAUCUUCCUGAACCCCA